UUCCUUUGAUACAUCACAUGACCACCACUCAAAGACUUUCAAUUUAGAAAUCCUGGCAAUCCACUCACCUCACCAAAAACCUGGAUUGACCAUAUUAAAAUUUUUUACAAUGGUUCAGCAGAGACAGCCUUUCAAAAACUCUUAAAACGAAGGGAUGAAGGAUGACUAUAAAUCUUAGUAAUUAUUAAAAUCAUUGGCUAUAAUCAGGUCACAAUCUAAUAUUACAAGAUAACUGUAGACACUUCUAAUUAGACAAGCCUUAAUUAGUCAAAUAUAAUGAAACCAGCUCUUUUCUUUUUUUAUAAGAGUUUUCCCUUCUUUAAUCCCAUGAUACGAAUUGUGAGUUUUGAAACCAACUCAGCCACAUAGGGUUGUGACCCAACUGAACUUGAAUCCACAUAAUAUGGGGAUGUCUCAACAUGAUUAGCAUGGCCUUGACCUUCUGGAGAUAUUUUUUAAUCAAACAUAUUUUCUCCUACACUGUAUUUAUGUAUUAUGUAGAAUUUGUUCCUUGAUUUUUAGCCAUAUCCUAUGCCCCGAGUCCAUGAAAAAAAAAUCUCAAUUCAGAGUAUUUUAAUAUAUAUAUAUAUAUGAUUUAGUGUGGUCCUGUUACUAGUAAUUUGUAUGAUAUCUUAAAUUCCCUAUAUUUCUAUGCAACAUUUUGAUUCCCUAUUUAAAGGUCAAGGUUUUCAACAGGUCAGUUUUCCUCAGGUAAGUUAUGGUAGCUCAUCACACUAAAUUUUUAUUUAAUGGCUCAUUAAAACACCUCUUAUGAAGUAUGAUUUCACCAUCGAAAAAGAGAUUGAUACAAGCUCUCAUUCAAUAUUUCUGGGAAAUCUGGGCAUUGUUUGAAAAUAUAUUCUAAUUUCAGUUCAUUAGAGCUGAGUUAGGUGACAAUUUUUUUCUUCAGAUGAAACUGAUCUGAUGCAGAGGGUUGGAAACCAGGCUAGAAUGAAUCACAGGAGUUUGAAGUUUUAUCAAUAAAGUCAAUCGAGUGAAUUUUAUUGACUUAAUUGAUAAAAUUUCGAACUCCUGUGAAUCAAUCCAGUUUGACUUAGAUAAAACCUUACAGACUGUGAUACUGUUGUAGACAGGGGUGAGCCGUUCUGGGAACAACUUGCCCAGCUACCAAGAUGACGUAGGCCGUCUGUAGGCUUUGCAAACGGCCUGGCUACAUGUGUCACUUGCACAGCUGAUGCAAACUGAUAUGGAUACAACAGACAGAUAUCCGAGAUGAUAUGCAGACAGAGAUCAGAUGAGGUGAGCCUCCUUAAGGAGAAGAACCUGACAGAUAUACUGUGUAUAUUUAUACCUAAAUAAAUACGAUAUUGGCAUCCAACGUGGGGCCCGAACCCAUGACCAUGAUGUUCUACCGACUGAGCUAGCCGGUAGUCGCCCUGUUGAAAAUGAAAGGGGAACUGCCAUGGGGGACCAGGUCAGUCAGGUCCAAGGAGGAGAGAAUCGCAGGAUACCAGAUCCUGACCUCCACCUAAAUGUGUCACUUCACCCCGGCAGACAGAGCCCACAAUGCUGCGUCCGAGGACCCCAACCCCAUUGCCACCGAGAGCCCCGGUUCUGGAAACUGGUUUUCCAGAUGGUGCUCAGGGAGGACCCAUGCCCAUUUGGGCUAUGCUGGACGUAGAAGGGGAGAUCCGCACCCCAAGGACAGAGGAACUACUUACAGGGCAUUGGCCAGGGCACGUGGUGGGCCGGCAUGGUGGAAUACCCUGAGCAGCCAGGAUUUCUCUGGCAUCUUUGGGUGUAUCUGACGGCAGAAUGGUUGAGGAUGUCGUGCCACCCUGGACCUCCGACCUUCCUGAACAUGACCCAGACCAUUCCCCAACCUUAUCUAGGCAGGUACUGGCAUUACUCAGUUGUCUUUCUCUGUUGGGCUUCAGCCCUGUCUACCUGGUUUUCGCCCUGGAGGGAGUGCCUCUGGGCAGGGUGUUAGACAUCCACCUUAAAUAAACAUCAUUCCCUGGACCACGUUCAUGCUGGCAUAAGCUAUGAACCCCGUAAUUUUGGAGAAAACAGGGGGUAGUGUAGUAGAUGGGGGCGAAUUGUUCUGGGAAUGACUCACCCAGUCACCGGGAUGACGUAGACCAUGCGCGGGUUUUGCGCACAGCCUGGCUACAUGUAACAGAUAGAUGCGAUACUUAAAGCAGUGUGGACGGGUUGCAGCACCGAUAGUUCACAGAGACCAGAGGCAAGACUCCCGUAGGAGAACCUGUUACUGUGUAUAUAACUGAAUAAAUACGAUAAUACUUUUUGUCGCUUUGUUGUGCAGGGUUUGACACUAAGGCAUGUCAGACCGACCAAGUCUACUAAAUUAUAGGUCCGGUCAGCUAAAAUGCCAACUUACUAGUCCGAGCGGUCAUGUUGAAAAAAUAAACAAGAAACUUAAUUACUUUAAACCAUAAGAUAUUUUAUUCUUAAAUAAAAAAAAAAAUAACUGUAGAGUUUGCGAGCAAUUAAGAACCACGUGAUGACAUAUCUUGGUCAGAAGUGAUGUUUUACGACAUCUACUUGAUGUUAAUGUGUGUAAAGUUAUGUUUCCGAUAAAUAUAUAUUGAAUUCAUGUUUUUAAAAAAACAGCUUAUUUGAAUUAGAUGUAUGAAAUUGUUUAUCAAAUUAAUCAAUUACGUCGUAAACAGCCAUUUCUCGGUGUUGACAUAUGUGCGGGAAUGUCUCUAUAUUCAAAUAUGACCUCUCGUCCUCAAGGAAAGAUGUCCCAAGAGGAAAAAAAGGAAAAGGUUGGGAAGAAACAAAGCAGGACUUAUGAAACAGAAUCCUUUUUAAAAAAUGGCUGAGGUCAUUUGAUUCUAAAUGGACUAAAGAAUUUCCAUGCUGGCUAGAAUUUAAAGAAACAGAAAAUGUGUUUGAAAAUAAAAGCAUCAAAUUGAAUGACGAGACAAUUAAAUAUCUGUUUUAGUUUAAAUUUAACAUUUGUCAUUUGAAGUAUUUAAAUAUGGAGAAACUAUCAAGGUUUUUUUCUGGAAAGUUGGUCAGGUCUAGUGGAUGUAAGGUCAGGUCUAGUGGGUGCAAGGUCAGGUCUACACUAUCAAACUUCCGUUAUAUAAGCCGUCUCUUGCAAAGAACGAUAACUCGUGCGUAGGGGCAAUAACCUUUACCGUAUUUCCGGUUGCAAGAACGUCGAGCCCUACUUUCGCUAUAGCCGCGCGCUAUUCUCUCGAGCCCUCUACAGACAAGAAAAUGUCGUGUGAGUCGUAGUCUACAUGCUGUACAAAUUUCAGGAGGAUGAAUGUUCACAGAGUCACUGCCAAUGUCAAUAUAAUAAAGGGAGGUGAUUGCAGCUUUGAAGUUUUCUUUGGGAUGAGACUUGGAAUUAAUGGGAAUUUUCACUCCACAGAGCCUACACAUACACUUUAACUUUAAUUCAUGCUCCAUUUCUGUAGAAAAAAUAAAGUUUUGAAUAGAU